UACGUAGGGGGCAAGCGUUGUCCGGAAUCAUUGGGCGUAAAGCGCGCGUAGGCGGCCCGGUAAGUCCGCUGUGAAAGUCCAGGGCUCAACCCUGGGAUGCCGGUGGAUACUGUCGGGCUCGAGUCCGGAAGAGGAGUGCGGAAUUCCUGGUGUAGCGGUGAAAUGCGCAGAUAUCAGGAGGAACACCAAUGGCGAAGGCAGCACUCUGGGACGUGACUGACGCUGAGACGCGAAAGCGUGGGGAGCAAACAGG
rnacentral:rRNA from 1 species